CCAACAUGGGCCGUGUUCACACCAAAACCGUGAAGAAGGCGGCCCGGGUCAUCUUAGAAAAGUACUACACGCGCCUGGGCAACGACUUCCACACAAACAAGCGCGUGUAGUACUUUUCUACGCGCGAGGAGAUCGCCAUUAUCCCUAGCAAGAAGCUCCGCAACACGAUAGCAGGCUAUGUCAUACAUCUGAUGAAGUGGAUUCAGAGAGGCCCAGUAAGAGGUAUCUCUAUCAAGCUGCAGGAGGAGGAGAGAGAAAGGAGAGACAAUUAUGUUCCUGAGGUCUCAGCCCUGGAUCAGGAGAUCAUUGAAGUAGAUCCUGACACUAAGGAAAUGCUGAAGCUUUUGGAUUUUGGCAGUCUAUCCAACCUGCAGGUCACUCAGCCUACAGUUGGGAUGAAUUUCAAAACGCCUCGGGGACCUGUUUGAAUCAAUGCUGUAUUAUUUUCAAUAAACCUGGGACAACA